CAUCUCCAGUAGCAAAACCCUAAUUUCCAUGUGAAGACAGAUGAUAGCUUCUGCAGCAUUCUUACCUCAUGUCUCGCAUUGCCCUGGUUCGAUGCAGCAACCACUAUUCAUCGAUGAUUUCGCACAGUCCACAGUCUCCCGAUCCCGUACUUAAGUUUAGAAUUGGGGUUGUAGAGUAUUUUUCGUCUCGCAGCUCCUUAAGCCCUAAAUCCUCAUUUCUGCCCAUGGAAGGUCGCACAUCUGUUGUGAAAUUUGUAGACAUGAAUAAUUCUCGAGCUAUGCAUCGUACCAAUCAGCAUUCUCGUCUUCUGGCGUCAUAAGUAUCGAUUUCUUGCUGGAGUCCUGAUUCCGCGUACUCUUUUUUUCUCAAAGGAGUUUGUUGGGUGGUGAUUUUCCGUGGCUGAAAGUUGCUCGAGAUGGCGGACGGGGUGCUAGAUGAGAAUGAUACGAUAACGGUGACCCUUCCCGAGGCAAUGACCGUGGUAGCCUCCGCGCCCAAGGUCGUGACCACGAAGGGGCCUCCCGCGUUGCCAUGGAUGCGGAGUCCUGUUGAAAUUGCAAUUCAUGACCCGCUCUCUGUUGAUGAGGUUCCUCUACUUGAUUCUAGAUUGCAAGAGGCUCUGCGAAAGGCUGGAAUUGAAGCUCUAUUUCCUGUUCAGGUUGCUGUGUGGAACCAAGUGCUGGGCCCUGGCGGGCGUGAGCGGGAUUUGUGCGUGUGCUCUCCUACAGGCAGUGGAAAAACUCUUUCAUUCGCUUUACCAAUUGUCCAACUGCUUUCAACAAGAGUCCUACGCCGACUUCGAGCUCUGGUGGUGCUUCCAACAAGAGACCUUGCUGUUCAGGUGAAGUCUGUGUUCGACAUAUUGGCUCCAGCAGUGGGUUUGUCCGUUGGUAUAGUAGGGCAAUCCACAGUUGCUGCAGAGGUAGGUGAACUUGUGAAAACCAGGUCAAGGUUGGUUCAUAGCUUUGAGACAUAUGAAGCUGUGGAGAACAACUUGGUUUAUGAAAGCUGCAUUGACAUUCUCGUUGCUACACCUGGAAGAUUGAUGGAUCACCUAAAAAACACUCCUGGAUUUACGGUAGAGCAUCUUCAAUAUCUGGUUGUGGAUGAGACCGACAGGCUUUUGAGACAAGACUAUCAGUCUUGGUUGCCGAAUGUGCUCAAUGUAAUUCAAAUUCCUGAAAGAUUUGAUGAUGUAAGUAGAAGAAAAGCUCAAUGCUUACGAGGUACCGGGGUUGCGUUUACGCAGCGACGCUGGUGUUUAGAGCGGGGAUCAAAAGGAAGGGUGCAUCCUAGAGUGAUGAAGUUUUUAUUGUCAGCUACUUUGACCAAGGAUCCAGCAAAGAUUGCCCAGUUGGACCUUUAUUGGCCUCUGUAUCUUGCUCCUAGUGCUGAAGAAAGUCGUUAUCAUCUUCCCAAACAGCUUAAAGCUUUUAAGUUGAUCACGAGAGCUAGCAAGAAACCAUUAGUCUUGGUGGCCCUUCUAGAACAAUUUAAGAAUCAGUCCACCAUUAUUUUCAAUGCAUCUGUGGAAGCCACACACCAACUUUUUUUGUUAUUGAGACAUUUCUACGCUGGUCAAGAAUUUUCGGUUGUAGAGUAUUCGAGUAGACAACCUCAGCAUAUUCGGAGGAAAGCCCUGGCGGAUUUUACGGACGGCAAAGUGCACGUAAUUGUGGCAUCGGAUGCGAUGACUCGAGGCAUGGAUGUGGAGGGUGUUGCAAAUGUGAUCAACUAUGAUGUUCCCGUCUAUGCCAAGACUUAUGUUCAUCGUGUGGGCCGUACUGCAAGGGCAGGACAAGCUGGUCGUGCAUUUACUUUAUUGGUGAAGAAAGAGGCUCGUCACUUUAAGAAGGAACUUCUCAGCAAGAUGGAGAACGGGCAAUGCGAGGAUUAUGACCUUCCGGUCGCCCUAUUGGAGGAGCUUCUCCCUCGCCUCACUGCAGCUCAAGGAAAACUGAACGAAGAUGCCGCAGCGGAUGACUCAGCUGAAAGAAUCGUUUCAGAACCAAAGUCAACUUAACGAAAGACAUCAAAGUUGCUUACUUAUUGUACGAUUUUCGCGCAUGGUGCUGGGUGGUUUGAUGGAUUGCAAGUGGAUGAAUUGCUGAAGCGAACGCGCCUUGGUUGGUGAUAAUGCCUCUACUUUGCAAGUCUUGUUGGGCCUUGAUCUGAUGCAAAUUCAGGUAUCUGCUGUUAGAAACGAGUGCCGUGUUGUUUUCGUGCUAGCAUAGUAUCAAGUCUUCUGCCAAUCUCAAGCCUCUUCAAAGGUUAACUUCCUUUAAGCUUGCCAACACUCCAGUCUCUCAAAGUUUAGAGUUAUCGUCUCGCCUGUAACUUAACUGUGUUUUACAAAUCAUGUAGCCACCUUCCUCAGCUAAUGUAUUCAAAUUUUUGUACUUCAUCGCAAUAAGAAGUUUUAGGUGCUGUAAUGCCUUUAUUCUUGUGAA